rnacentral:rRNA from 1 species
UGGGGAAUCUUCCGCAAUGGACGAAAGUCUGACGGAGCAACGCCGCGUGAACGAUGACGGCCUUCGGGUUGUAAAGUUCUGUUAUACGGGACGAACGGCGUAGCGGUCAAUACCCGUUACGAGUGACGGUACCGUAAGAGAAAGCCACGGCUAACUACGUGCCAGCAGCCGCGGUAAUACGUAGGUGGCAAGCGUUGUCCGGAAUUAUUGGGCGUAAAGGGCGCGCAGGCGGCGUCGUAAGUCGGUCUUAAAAGUGCGGGGCUUAACCCCGUGAGGGGACCGAAACUGCGAUGCUAGAGUAUCGGAGAGGAAAGCGGAAUUCCUAGUGUAGCGGUGAAAUGCGUAGAUAUUAGGAGGAACACCAGUGGCGAAGGCAGCUCACUGGAGCGCAACUGACGCU